AUGGCUGUAAAUGUGCCCAUCCUUGUGGGUGGCAGCCUGGCGUGCUAUGAAAUGGACCUGAUGCUGGAGCGGCUGGGACCGAAUGCCAUAACACUGCCUCUGAGCCAGGAUUGCUGUCAGGGGGAGCAGAGGAACAAAGGUGUGGUAGGCCUGGGUGGCCUUGGCCAAGUGGCCUCCACUCGCCCAGACCUUGGGCACCAGCAGGCUCCUCCUCCCCAGCACGCAGGCCCUUAUCAGGAAAGCAAUUUGGGUUGGUGAGGAGGGGGAAGUCCGAGGCCCCAGGCUCCGGCAAGGUGGGUAGGAGAGAUAGGGAAGUGGGGAGGGGGCCGUGGGGCCCGGCUGGGAGGGCCCGCGGAUGGAAGAAAUGCCCAGAGCCAGUGCUGUCCUUGCUGGCCUGGCCUCUUGACAUGGUUCCAGAGCUGUUCCUGCCUUCCCUCCUUGCCGGGCAAGCCGCCCGCACCUUUAAUUAGCAAGCAGCAACCUUGCCCCGAUUCAGCACAGUCGCUGUUUAAUUAGCCGCGCACAAGGCGCCCCUACCCCCAGCUCUGGGUGGAGCAGCCUGCCUUUCUCACGGAGGCUGCCACCACUUCAUGGUGUCCCCUGUCACACGCCCCCCCCCCCCACUUAUUCUGCUCCCCAGAAGGGGGGAUGGGGCGGGCACGCCUGGCUGAAACCUCAAGGAGAUUCUGGGCACUGCCGCUUGUAUUCAAAGCAUCCAGCAAACAUUAUUAGGGCUUGGAGUCUGCGCCUGGCUGGCGCUGGGCGGAACCCAGGCUGCAUGGGGGCGGCGGCCUCGGUCCUGCCCACCGGCUCCAAAACGGCUUUUCCCUUUGGGAGGUGCCCAACACCUCUCCAGCUGGUCCCAGGGUGUUGGGAAAAGCCUAAUAAUCCUCCCUGUUGCUCCGUUCUCCCCGCCCCCAUCCAGACAGGGAUGACCAUUUCUUCCUUUCCGUCCCUGUCCCAGAGCGCAGCUAGCCCCCACCCCAGAAGGCGACCUCCUCGAGGAUGGAGAGGACCCUCCUCCACCCCUGCCUCCCCAGGGGUCAGAUCAUGGAGGCCCAGGCUAAGGCUAUGGGCAAAGGGAGGUGGUGGGGCAUCUCAGCGCCCCUCUGGGAAGUGGGGGUGCACAGCAGAGAGCCCACAGACUGGAGCCGAACCGGCUGCCCUCUGCUUCCCAGCAGCAGGGUGGGGCCGGUGGUGGCCCUGGGAGCGGUGCCUCACACCCUUCCGGGCAGAGCCGGGGAGUCACCGCCUCAGGGCAGCCAGCUGGAGGCAGGAGGCUCAGGUUCCAUCCCAGCCCUGCACCCCAGUCGGUCCUGUGGCUUCAGGUAAAUCAGCUGCCCUGGGGCCUCAGUGUCCUGCCCACAGAAGGGUGCUGGCCCCCUGGCUCUGGUGUGGACUAAGGACACGGAAGGACUGGCCUUUAUUCUGGUAUGGAGGGAAGCCCUGGAGUCCGUCCACUCUGGUACUAACCAUCUGUGUGGCCUCGGCCUGCCACCAAACUGUGCUGUGCCUCAGUUUCCCCAUAAUUAGUAGCUGCCUCUUGGGCUGUCCUGAGGAUUAAAUGAUUUACAAUGUUUAGCGCACUCAGAACAGUGCAUGACGGAGGGAGUCCUUAGUAAUCAUUGGCUGCUUUUGCCAAUAUUUCCCCUCCUUUUACCGAUCAAUAUUUAUUGCCAGGUAGGAGGGACUUGGUGAGUAAGUAUGGCAACCUCUCUGCUUCUCAGAGUUUUCCUUCCAGUGGGGGAGGCAGUUGAAAACAAGUAAAUAAAUAAAGGAAAGUACAAUUUUAUCUGAACAAAGUCUGCAGUUUAGUUAAUGGUGAUGUGCCAGGGUUAAUUUCUUAGUUUUGACACAUGUACCAUGGUCAGGUUAGGUGACGAUGUGACAUGAAGAAGACUGGAUGAAGUGUAUAUGGGAACCCUCUGUACUGUUUUUGCAAU